rnacentral:lncRNA from 1 species
CAGGUGGAAGGGAUUUUCCGCUUGGAGGGGAGAGUCCACUCUACCCUGGCUGCAGAGGUUGAGGAGUUUCCCCUGACCCCCAAGGUGGAGAGGUCUCCUGCCUAGAGGGGUGACUUCCCUCUACCCUGGCUGAGAGGGUGUACCAGUGUUCCCAGGCACCCAUGUGGGAGGGGUCUCCUGCUUGGAAGGGUGAGCCCCCUCUUUCUGGCAGCUGUUACACAAUAGCCGCCCCCCCAUACCCAGAUGUUAGGGGUCUCCUGCCUGAAGUGACGAGUCCCAUUUACCUGGCUGCAGUGGUUUACUAGCUUUCCCUGACACAGAUUGGAUGGGUCUCUCGCCUGGAGUUUCAAGUCCCCUCCACCCUGGCUGAGGAAGUAAAGGAUCUCCCCCUGACACCAAGGUGGGAGGGUCUCCAUCCUGGAGAGGCAAGUCCCCUCUACUCUGGCUGCAAUGGUAUAGGAGGUUCCUCCUACAUCCAGGCGGAAAGGGUCUCCU